GCCCGGCUGGCACAAUUGGUAGCGCGUGAGACUCUUAAUCUCAAGGUUGUGGGUUCGAGCCCCACGUCGGGCU
rnacentral:tRNA from 1 species